CUGUGGGGGUAAGGAAGAGUUGGGGCCUAGAGGAGCUGCCUACAAGAACCAUCAAGGAGGUAUGGAACUCCAGCAAUAUAGAACCUUUGCGCUAUAAUGACAACAAGCAAGUGCAACAGAAUCUGCCCCAAAGAGAUGGGGGUGUGACGUUGCUGAGAUGAGUGUGUCACUGCUGGAGGGGUGACGCUGCUGGCCGGGUGUCACAGUGUUCUGUGUGUCUGCUGAGGGCACCCAAGUCUGUGGAAAUUUCGUUGUUCUGUGUCCCUGGGUGUUGGCUGUCAUCAGCCCCUCACGCUUUUAGUCCCUGCUGCCUUCUCAUCCAUCAUGUACUCUUGUGUGGCUGUAAUUGCUAUCAGAUGUGACUGCUGAACAAAUGUUAUGGACUGUACUCCUCAAGGCUCGUGAAGGGAGACACUUGGAGACGAACAGGAGAACAAGAGGUGGAUUACUCCUACUCUAUCCUUCACUGGACUGUAGAAUCCAGUCUUUCACAAGUCCCAGCUCAAGAAGAUUUUAGCCUAUGAACAUACAUGGUUCUGGUCCAAAAGACAGAAACCAUCUAAUCUCCUCGGCAGGUCAGGACUUCCUGGUCCAGUUCAUAUCCACACCUCUACAGCAGCUUGAUUAACUCUCCAGUGACAGAAACAUUUAACUCUGUGAUUCAAUCACUUCCCUCAAAACAAAGAUCACAGAAUAGUUAAGGCUGAAAGGGACCAUUGGAAGUCAUCCUCCAACCUCUGCUCAAGCAGAGUUCCCUGGGGCACAUCAUUCAGAGUUGUGCUCAAGUAGCUUUGAACACCUCCAGUGAGGGAGAUCCACAGCCUCUCUGGACAAUCUGUUCUGGUGUGUGGUCACCUGCACAGUAAAGAAUUUUUCCUUAUGUUCAGGUGAAACUUCCUGUGCAUCAGUUUCUUCCCAUUGUCUCUCAUUACUCGGCACCACCAAGGAAAGCCUGGUCCAUCCUCUUGAUAUCCUCCUCUCAGACAAUUACAGACAUUGAUGAGAUCUUCUCUCCAUGUUCUCCAGGCUGAACAGGCCCAGCUCCCUCAGCUGUCCCUUCUAAGAGAGAUGCUCCCCUCCCCUGAUCAUCUUUGUAGCCCUAUUGAUGCUCUGAAGUAUCUAAAGUUCUCUUGGAUAAGUACUUCAAACUCAUCCUUACUUAGGAAAAAAAACCUAAGGCUUUAAAAAUUCUGUCAGCACAGCAGUAGUGCCACUUUUAAGCUAAAAAAGGUCUCUGAUUAGAAAGCAGGAGCUACCCUGCAGUUUAACCUGGAUUUUUUCACUCACUUUCUGUUAUUAUAUUUCAGAUAAUGAGACAAGAAGGGUCAUGAAUGAUGAAGUACAAAUACUUUAAAAGAGAUAAUGUAAUUAAUUAGCCUUGGAAGUAGAUAAGGACAGAAUGGAAAAGAAUUGAUCUUUAAAAAGAGUUGAGCUUAAUGGAGAGCUAUGUGUACAAAAUUGAGAAUGUUUCUGGCUAUUGUCAUUAAAAUAAGUCUAGAAAUACCAUAUCCAUGGCCUUUUUAAUGCACCAGCAUAAGGGUGAGCUUUCUCUGCAAACAGAGUUAUUGAGCACAGCUGAUUUGGCAGGAGGGGGACUGGGCUUUAGGGAGAGGACUAAAUGCUCAUCUUCGAUGUGCACAUAGGCACCUGUAGAUGAUGAUUCAGAGACAUAAAAAGAAGCUUGAGGAAGCAACCAGAAAUGGUCUGAGCUUGCUCCUGAUAGACCUUGCCCAAUGUACCUAGUAUUGCCCAAGUAGCAGUCAGUACCCAAAAAUACUUCAGUGAAACAGGAAAACUGACUGAUAGAGGCCUCUGAGUCUGCAGUGUUAUCCAGCUCACAGCUCACACACCCAAACUGCAGGUGAGCUGAAAAAAACAACAGGAUUGAAAGCUGAGGUAGAACUGCUUGACUUCCAAAGGUGAAAGGGAAACCUGGUGUCAACUUUUAGCUCCUAGGUUUGGCAAUUUCCUCACCUCACAAAACAUACAGACCUGCUCUUGCUAAUUUCAUUAAGCAUUUGAUACUGCCGAUGGACAGGUUUUAUUUAAAUUUUGUCAGCAUAUAAACAGGCCAUUUAAAAGCACUUCAGUAAAGUCAUUUUAGGCAGUAAUACUUUAAUUUAAAUUUUAAAAAAAUUGAAUUCAAUACAGUAUUUGAGAAACUUCCAAAAAAUUCAAGUUAUGAUUGGCAUUGUAUACCAAAUGCUACCCUUCUUGUUGAAUAAAUCAGCUGCAAGCUGUAUGGAUUUACAUUUAAAAAAAUAAAACCCCUAAUUCCUUUAUUUCUAUAACUUGCAAAGGAUUAUUUUGGGCUGCUUGUUCUCAAACCAUUGCUGGCAUUUCCAUGCUGUUCAAUGAAUUUGAUGCAAGCACUCUUCUGUGCUCAGUUUAAGGCAUGAACUGGUGAUAUCUAUGAAUAAUUUUCUGUGAUACUUUGCAGAAAGUGAGAGUGGUUCUAAUUAAUUUAUAAAUGGUUUAAACAAUUUGCAUUUUACUGAUUAGCUAAUAGAGGUGGGUUUGGGACACUGGUGAAAUUCCUUAACUGCUGCCUUACAGAUUCCUCCUGCACCUGCCUUUAAACUUGCUCACUUUCUGGUGCUGGAUUUCUGCGUUCCUGAGAUCAGCUUUAAUGAGGCUGUUGGGGUGCUGGAGCACAACUGUUUGCAAGCACACAAUAUUUUCUUUGAAAUCGCAGGUGAUGUUGACAUUUCCAGCAGGCGGAACUUGCACUGGUUAAAGUUGCUGGAUCCAGUCCAGAGGAUUUUACUUGGACGAGUGAAUAGAGCUGGACAGAAACCCUGGGAAUACCUCUCCUCACUAUGACUCAGAGAAGCAGAGCAUAGGCAGAAUGUUAAAUUGACAAAGAAAGUGGGGUUUUAAUUGCAUUCAUGUGUUCCUCAUGGCUUUAAUGAAACUAUUCACAUGGUGGAAUUGUGAAACAUUUAUCCCAUUUUCUGGGGAACACCACCAUAUGGUAUAACAUCAUGUUUGGCUAUCUGCAUAAUAAAGUUAUUUAUUUUUGAUUGCCCUUAUAAUAUGCUCCCAUAAAUUAUAGUACCUGAUCCUUCUGUGCACAGUCCCUGUCCAUUUGUUAAAACUCCAACUUGUUCCUUACUGUUCUUACUGAUGAAAAAUUUUGCUAUGAGUAAUUUUCUAUACGUAUAUAUUAGUUUUGGAUUACUGAGAUUGCCUAAUGAGAUUACAAUCAGCUGUUAAAUAUUUCUGACAAAGUAUGCAGUACAGAAUUUGGAAAACAUCUGUACUUCAUGAUGAAAUCAACUUCUAGAAGAUUUUGUUAGAAAUAUAAUUCUUUAUACUUUGGCAAGAAAUUAUCUUGCACAAUGCUGGUAAAGCAGAAUUAGUUCAGGUUGCUGCUGGCAGCAAAAGAUUCUCCAUUAUUUCACUCCAUCAGGCACAUUUGAAAAUUAUUACAAGUAACUGCUAGAAACAAGAAGAUGAACAUGAGAAAAAGUGGAGAGAGAAUCUGGGUUUUGGCCCCUUGGGAAGAUCAUCCUAAAGAGGAUCCAGCUCAGUCAGCUGGGUGAAAUUGCCUCCAGUGAAGCACAAUUCCAGACAUGGACAAAAAUUCAGACUGGUUUCCUAGGAAUUCUAAGUUUUACAGAAUGUUAUAUAACUGAAGACCAAAAAUAGGACCCUGUAUUUCUACAGACCACAUAGUUCCACAGGGUUCAAGCAUAAACUGUUCAUAUUUUGCUUCAGAAUGCAGUGCUAGGAUGUAUCAGAGCUCGGAUUCCCGCCUUUCAGCAGAAAGAGCAGCCUGCAGAGCACAGGAACACACUGCAGGGUCAGCCCUGCCGGGGACAGAGACCUCCUCCAAGCAGAUCCUGAGACCUUUGGCUGCUGGCAGCAAAGGGAGCCACAGGGUGGGGAACUCCACGGCUCAGCAUUUAGCCAGGGUCAGCCGUAACUCACAUGCCCCUGGUUUCACUCACAUCCAUACUGAGAAAAAAAACCCCAAAAAACCCAACAAACCAAACUUAACCAAAGGAAAAAAAAAAAAAAAAAAAAAAGGAAGAGAUCAUAAAAUGUGUUAAUACUUAAGUUUGCUGCCAAAACAUUGUUCUCAACAGUUUAUGCUGAAAAGAGAGGAGACUUUUCAUCCCCAGGUAAGAUCAAGCCCUGAUGGAAGUAAGAUAAAGAAUGGGUCACAAAAUUUUGCUGUUGUUUGGCAUCUAUGUUUAUUAAAUCUGUCAUUAUAACAAUUACA